CGUCAAGUCCUCAUGGCCUUUAUGGACCAGGGCUACACACGUACUACAAUGGCCGAUACAAAGGGCAGCGACACUGCGAGGUGAAGCCAAUCCCGUAAAAUCGGUCUCAGUCCGGAUUGGAGUCUGCAACUCGACUCCAUGAAGUUGGAAUCGCUAGUAAUCGUGGAUCAGCAUGCCACGGUGAAUACGUUCCCGGGCCUU
rnacentral:rRNA from 1 species